UGUGAACUCGAAGAGUAGGGCGGGACACGUGGUAUCCUGUCUGAAUAUGGGGGGACCAUCCUCCAAGGCUAAAUACUCCUGACUGACCGAUAGUGAACCAGUACCGUGAGGGAAAGGCGAAAAGAACCCCGGCGAGGGGAGUGAAAAAGAACCUGAAACCGUGUACGUACAAGCAGUGGGAGCACCUUCGGGUGUGACUGCGUACCUUUUGUAUAAUGGGUCAGCGACUUAUAUUCUGUAGCAAGGUUAACCGUAUAGGGGAGCCGCAGGGAAACCGAGUCUUAACUGGGCGUUAAGUUGCAGGGUAUAGACCCGAAACCCGGUGAUCUAGCCAUGGGCAGGUUGAAGGUUGGGUAACACUAACUGGAGGACCGAACCGACUAAUGUUGAAAAAUUAGCGGAUGACUUGUGGCUGGGGGUGAAAGGCCAAUCAAACCGGGAGAUAGCUGGUUCUCCCCGAAAGCUAUUUAGGUAGCGCCUCGUGAACUCAUCUUCGGGGGUAGAGCACUGUUUCGGCUAGGGGGUCAUCCCGACUUACCAACCCGAUGCAAACUACGAAUACCGAAGAAUGUUAUCACGGGAGACACACGGCGGGUGCUAACGUCCGUCGUGAAGAGGGAAACAACCCAGACCGCCAGCUAAGGUCCCAAAGUCAUGGUUAAGUGGGAAACGAUGUGGGAAGGCACAGACAGCCAGGAUGUUGGCUUAGAAGCAGCCAUCAUUUAAAGAAAGCGUAAUAGCUCACUGGUCGAGUCGGCCUGCGCGGAAGAUGUAACGGGGCUAAACCAUGCACCGAAGCUGCGGCAGCGACACUAUGUGUUGUUGGGUAGGGGAGCGUUCUGUAAGCCUGCGAAGGUGACCUGUGAGGGUUGCUGGAGGUAUCAGAAGUGCGAAUGCUGACAUAAGUAACGAUAAAGCGGGUGAAAAGCCCGCUCGCCGGAAGACCAAGGGUUCCUGUCCAACGUUAAUCGGGGCAGGGUGAGUCGACCCCUAAGGCGAGGCCGAAAGGCGUAGUCGAUGGGAAACAGGUUAAUAUUCCUGUACUUGGUGUUACUGCGAAGGGGGGACGGAGAAGGCUAUGUUAGCCGGGCGACGGUUGUCCCGGUUUAAGCAUGUAGGCUGGUUAUCCAGGCAAAUCCGGAUAAUCAAGGCUGAGGUGUGAUGACGAGGCACUACGGUGCUGAAGUAACAAAUGCCCUGCUUCCAGGAAAAGCCUCUAAGCAUCAGGUAACAUCAAAUCGUACCCCAAACCGACACAGGUGGUCAGGUAGAGAAUACCAAGGCGCUUGAGAGAACUCGGGUGAAGGAACUAGGCAAAAUGGUGCCGUAACUUCGGGAGAAGGCACGCUGGUGUGUAGGUGAAGUCCCUGCGGAUGGAGCUGAGACCAGUCGAAGAUACCAGCUGGCUGCAACUGUUUAUUAAAAACACAGCACUGUGCAAACACGAAAGUGGACGUAUACGGUGUGACGCCUGCCCGGUGCCGGAAGGUUAAUUGAUGGGGUUAUCCGUAAGGAGAAGCUCUUGAUCGAAGCCCCGGUAAACGGCGGCCGUAACUAUAACGGUCCUAAGGUAGCGAAAUUCCUUGUCGGGUAAGUUCCGACCUGCACGAAUGGCGUAAUGAUGGCCAGGCUGUCUCCACCCGAGACUCAGUGAAAUUGAACUCGCUGUGAAGAUGCAGUGUACCCGCGGCAAGACGGAAAGACCCCGUGAACCUUUACUAUAGCUUGACACUGAACAUUGAGCCUUGAUGUGUAGGAUAGGUGGGAGGCUUUGAAGCGUGGACGCCAGUCUGCGUGGAGCCAACCUUGAAAUACCACCCUUUAAUGUUUGAUGUUCUAACGUUGGCCCCUGACCGGGGUUGCGGACAGUGUCUGGUGGGUAGUUUGACUGGGGCGGUCUCCUCCCAAAGCGUAACGGAGGAGCACGAAGGUUAGCUAAUCCUGGUCGGACAUCAGGAGGUUAGUGCAAUGGCAUAAGCUAGCUUGACUGCGAGCGUGACGGCGCGAGCAGGUGCGAAAGCAGGUCAUAGUGAUCCGGUGGUUCUGAAUGGAAGGGCCAUCGCUCAACGGAUAAAAGGUACUCCGGGGAUAACAGGCUGAUACCGCCCAAGAGUUCAUAUCGACGGCGGUGUUUGGCACCUCGAUGUCGGCUCAUCACAUCCUGGGGCUGAAGUAGGUCCCAAGGGUAUGGCUGUUCGCCAUUUAAAGUGGUACGCGAGCUGGGUUUAGAACGUCGUGAGACAGUUCGGUCCCUAUCUGCCGUGGGCGCUGGAGAAUUGAGGGGGGCUGCUCCUAGUACGAGAGGACCGGAGUGGACGCAUCACUGGUGUUCGGGUUGUCAUGCCAAUGGCACUGCCCGGUAGCUAAAUGCGGAAGAGAUAAGUGCUGAAAGCAUCUAAGCACGAAACUUGCCCCGAGAUGAGUUCUCCCUGAGACUUUAAGUCUCCUGAAGGAACGUUAAAGACGAUGACGUUGAUAGGCCGGGUGUGUAAGCGCAGCGAUGCGUUGAGCUAACCGGUACUAAUGAACCGUGAGGCUUAACCUUACAACGCCGAAG
rnacentral:rRNA from 1 species